GGACCCGUGGCCCAAUUGGCAAGGCGCUUGACUACGAUUUUCUCUGCCUCUUUGCAAUCAAGAGAUUCUGGGUUCGAAUCCCAGCGGGUUCA